AGUGGAAUUGUUGGGUUACUUGGUAAUUUUAUGUUUAACUUUUUGAGGAACUACCAGACUGUUUUCCAAAGUGGCUGUACCAUUUGACAUUCCCACCAGCAGU
rnacentral:pre_miRNA from 1 species